AUUGAACGCUGGCGGCAUGCUUUACACAUGCAAGUCGAACGGUAACAGGGUGCUUGCACCGCUGACGAGUGGCGAACGGGUGAGUAAUGCGUCGGAACGUGCCGAGUAGUGGGGGAUAACGCAGCGAAAGUUGUGCUAAUACCACAUACGUACUGAGGUAGAAAGUGGGGGACCUUCGGGCCUCACGCUAUUCGAGCGGCCGACGUCGGAUUAGCUAGUAGGUGAGGUAAAGGCUCACCUAGGCGACGAUCAGUAGCGGGUCUGGGAGGAUGGUCCGCCACACUGGGACUGAGACACGGCCCAGACUCCUACGGGAGGCAGCAGUGGGGAAUUUUGGACAAUGGGCGAAAGCCUGAUCCAGCCAUGCCGCGUGUCUGAAGAAGGCCUUCGGGUUGUAAAGGACUUUUGUCAGGGAGGAAAUCCCUAGUGCUAAUAACACUGGGGGAUGACAGUACCUGAAGAAUAAGCACCGGCUAACUACGUGCCAGCCGCCGCCGUAA
rnacentral:rRNA from 1 species